UGAACGCUGGCGGCGUGCCUAAUACAUGCAAGUCGAACGCGCCGAGAAGGGAACUUGUUCCUUUCAACGCGAGUGGCGAACGGGUGAGUAACACGUGGGAAACCUACCCUUCAGCGGGGGAUAACCAUCGGAAACGAUGACUAAUACCGCAUAGUUGUUCUAGUCGCAUGACUGGAAUGGGAAAGACGGCUUCGGCUGUCACUGAAGGAUGGUCCCGCGGUGCAUUAGCUAGACGGUGGGGUAACGGCCUACCGUGGCUUUGAUGCAUAGCCGACCUGAGAGGGUGAUCGGCCACAUUGGGACUGAGACACGGCCCAAACUCCUACGGGAGGCAGCAGUAGGGAAUCUUCCGCAAUGGACGCAAGUCUGACGGAGCAACGCCGCGUGUGUGAAGAAGGUCUUCGGAUCGUAAAGCACUGUUAUCAGAGAAGAAUAGCCUGUAGAGUAACUGUUAUAGGUUUGACGGUAACUGAUCAGAAAGCCACGGCUAACUACGUG
rnacentral:rRNA from 1 species